AGAGUUUGAUCCUGGCUCAGGAUGAACGCUAGCGACAGGCCUAACACAUGCAAGUCGAGGGGCAGCGGGGAGGUAGCAAUACCUUUGCCGGCGACCGGCGCACGGGUGAGUAACACGUAUGCAAUCCACCUGUAACAGGGGGAUAACCCGGAGAAAUCCGGACUAAUACCCCAUAAUAUGGGCGCUCCGCAUGGAGGGCUCAUUAAAGAAAGCAAUUUUGGUUACAGACGAGCAUGCGCUCCAUUAGCCAGUUGGCGGGGUAACGGCCCACCAAAGCGACGAUGGAUAGGGGUUCUGAGAGGAAGGUCCCCCACAUUGGAACUGAGACACGGUCCAAACUCCUACGGGAGGCAGCAGUGAGGAAUAUUGGUCAAUGGUCGGCAGACUGAACCAGCCAAGUCGCGUGAGGGAAGACGGCCCUACGGGUUGUAAACCUCUUUUGUCGGAGAGUAAAGUACGCUACGAGUAGCGUAUUGCAAGUAUCCGAAGAAAAAGCAUCGGCUAACUCCGUGCCAGCAGCCGCGGUAAUACGGAGGAUGCGAGCGUUAUCCGGAUUUAUUGGGUUUAAAGGGUGCGUAGGCGGCACGCCAAGUCAGCGGUGAAAUUUUCGGGCUCAACCCGGACUGUGCCGUUGAAACUGGCGAGCUAGAGUGCACAAGAGGCAGGCGGAAUGCGUGGUGUAGCGGUGAAAUGCAUAGAUAUCACGCAGAACCCCGAUUGCGAAGGCAGCCUGCUAGGGUGCGACAGACGCUGAGGCACGAAAGCGUGGGUAUCGAACAGGAUUAGAUACCCUGGUAGUCCACGCAGUAAACGAUGAAUACUAACUGUUUGCGAUACAAUGUAAGCGGUACAGCGAAAGCGUUAAGUAUUCCACCUGGGGAGUACGCCGGCAACGGUGAAACUCAA
rnacentral:rRNA from 1 species